rnacentral:tRNA from 1 species
CGUGGGCUGGAGCACCAUGGCGGAGCCGGUGAUGCUGUCGUCGAGCCGGACGCGGCGCAGCGCGUCGAGCGGGUCCGGCUCCCAGCCCACGGCCA